UACGUAGGGACCAAGCGUUGUUCGGAUUUACUGGGCGUAAAGGGCGCGUAGGCGGCAAUUCAAGUCAGCUGUGAAAUCUCCGGGCUUAACUCGGAACGGUCAGCUGAUACUGCUUUGCUAGAGUGCAGAAGGGGCAAUCAGAAUUCCUGGUGUAGCGGUGAAAUGCGCAGAUAUCAGGAGGAACACCGGUGGCGAAGGCGGGUCUCUGGGCCGUAACUGACGCUGAGGAGCGAAAGCGUGGGGAGCGAACAGG
rnacentral:rRNA from 1 species